GAUGGGGAAACUGUGGAUGGUUUAUGACAAAGACUUGUAGGGACUCCUACAAGCCUCAUUUCAAUGUAUUCUGAGUGAACUGGAACUGCACCCGCAAUAUUUCCAAGGUAUCCUUCUACCUCCUAUCCAACAUUAGAAUCCCCAGUCCCACACUCCCAGGGGGUCUCUCAGUUACACAGGACAAGAGAUGAGAAAAAGGGUGCCAUCCAGAAUUCCAGACACUACGCCUGGUUCUUUCUAUGCUCCUGGCUGCCACCUGUUGGAAAUGGUAAUGCUUGCAUAAGAAGCUAAACCCCCUGAAGUCAGUGAUUGUCAUCAGAAAACAGAUACAGCUAGAUCAGCAGAUGCAUGUGAUCAUCCUGUUACAGCGGAUAGAGUUCUGGGCCUGGAAUCAGGAAGACUGCGGUUUUAAUCCUGCAUCUAAUACUCAGUAGCUCUGUGGCCAUAGGUUCAUGAAACCUAGAAAUCCCAAGUUAAGAAUGCCUGCUCUAAAACUUUAUGUUGUAGAAAAAAUACUUCUCUGCAUUGGUGGAGGGAAUUUCUUCACUUAGGUAAUGUACUAGUGAGAUCACAUCUCCAUUCUCCACCCCCUCCAAUGCUAAGUAUUGUGCUCCCCUAAAGUCCUACUCUGAUGCUUCAUAAUGACACUGAGAUCUCAAUUUCCUCAUUUGUAAAUCAAAGAGUUUAAAUUAGGUGACUUGUAAAGUUCCUUCCUGCUCUACA